rnacentral:lncRNA from 1 species
CUGUAAGUUUUGCCUGGAACCACAGUCAUCGUGUAGGGAGAAGCGCAUUCCGGAUUUGUUUGGUUGCAUUCCCCGGCUGCUACUGGGUUUGGAGUUGAGCACUCGUAUCUUCCCUUUCCGUGUAUCAACAGUGACUGCAAAUUGGGAAUCAAUUAUUGACUUGUUUUCUUUUAUGUUAUGAGCAGUAAUUCAAUUGAAAGGCAUUAAUGGAUUAUGGAUCAGUACCUGAGGCUCCCCGACCCAACGGAAAGGUAUGGCUGAUAAUCCAGAAGCUUGCUCAUAAGUGCUUCUAUGGUACCAAUCAUUCAAAACAAUACUUCUGUCAUAGUCGUAAGCGAAAGGCUCAGACUCUCCAUCCGGAAGCGAAACUCGGAUUAAUCCGUAAACCCCUGCCUCCCUUUGCAUCCCGUAAUGAGCAUGGUACAGGUAUGUUCCAGGCUGCCAUAUCAAAUCAAAUGUACAUUCAGUAACAAGUCCAUUCAACUUGAUUUAUUGGAAUAGUAAUUUCGAAGUGUGCUUGCUUACCCUGUCAACCACGAACUUGUAUCUGAAAGUGUCCCCGGGGAGAAUAGGACACUGAGUGACGCCUUCUGUGCCGUCGGCCCAAGGAGAGCCUAUCUGCCGGAUUCCAUGCCAGUGGAUUGCGAC